CUAGAGACGCUGGCGGCGUGCCUAAUACAUGCAAGUCGAACGAACUCUGGUAUUGAUUGGUGCUUGCAUCAUGAUUUACAUUUGAGUGAGUGGCGAACUGGUGAGUAACACGUGGGAAACCUGCCCAGAAGCGGGGGAUAACACCUGGAAACAGAUGCUAAUACCGCAUAACAACUUGGACCGCAUGGUCCGAGUUUGAAAGAUGGCUUCGGCUAUCACUUUUGGAUGGUCCCGCGGCGUAUUAGCUAGAUGGUGGGGUAACGGCUCACCAUGGCAAUGAUACGUAGCCGACCUGAGAGGGUAAUCGGCCACAUUGGGACUGAGACACGGCCCAAACUCCUACGGGAGGCAGCAGUAGGGAAUCUUCCACAAUGGACGAAAGUCUGAUGGAGCAACGCCGCGUGAGUGAAGAAGGGUUUCGGCUCGUAAAACUCUGUUGUUAAAGAAGAACAUAUCUGAGAGUAACUGUUCAGGUAUUGACGGUAUUUAACCAGAAAGCCACGGCUAACUACGUGCCAGCAGCCGCGGUAAUACGUAGGUGGCAAGCGUUGUCCGGAUUUAUUGGGCGUAAAGCGAGCGCAGGCGGUUUUUUAAAGUCUGAUGUGAAAGCCUUCGGCUCAACCGAAGAAGUGCAUCGGAAACUGGGAAACUUGAGUGCAGAAGAGGACAGUGGAACUCCAUGUGUAGCGGUGAAAUGCGUAGAUAUAUGGAAGAACACCAGUGGCGAAGGCGGCUGUCUGGUCUGUAACUGACGCUGAGGCUCGAAAGUAUGGGUAGCAAACAGGAUUAGAUACCCUGGUAGUCCAUACCGUAAACGAUGAAUGCUAAGUGUUGGAGGGUUUCCGCCCUUCAGUGCUGCAGCUAACGCAUUAAGCAUUCCGCCUGGGGGAGUACGGCCGCAAGGCUGAAACUCAAAGGAAUUGACGGGGGCCCGCACAAGCGGUGGAGCAUGUGGUUUAAUUCGAAGCUACGCGAAGAACCUUACCAGGUCUUGACAUACUAUGCAAAUCUAAGAGAUUAGACGUUCCCUUCGGGGACAUGGAUACAGGUGGUGCAUGGUUGUCGUCAGCUCGUGUCGUGAGAUGUUGGGUUAAGUCCCGCAACGAGCGCAACCCUUAUUAUCAGUUGCCAGCAUUAAGUUGGGCACUCUGGUGAGACUGCCGGUGACAAACCGGAGGAAGGUGGGGAUGACGUCAAAUCAUCAUGCCCCUUAUGACCUGGGCUACACACGUGCUACAAUGGAUGGUACAACGAGUUGCGAACUCGCGAGAGUAAGCUAAUCUCUUAAAGCCAUUCUCAGUUCGGAUUGUAGGCUGCAACUCGCCUACAUGAAGUCGGAAUCGCUAGUAAUCGCGGAUCAGCAUGCCGCGGUGAAUACGUUCCCGGGCCUUGUACACACCGCCCGUCACACCAUGAGAGUUUGUAACACCCAAAGUCGGUGGGGUAACCUUUUAGGAACCAGCCGCCUAAGGUGGACAGAUGAUAGGGAAGUCGAC
rnacentral:rRNA from 2 species